rnacentral:lncRNA from 1 species
UUCCCAACAGACCUCUCAUUCUACUUCCCCCAGGUAACUCCUUAGCCACACAUUUGUUUUUUGAGACCGUGUCUCGCUCUGUAGCCCAGGCUGGAGUGCAGUGGCAUCAUCUUGGCCUACUGCAAUCUCCAUCUCCUGGGUUCAAGCGAUUCUCCUGUCUCAGCCUCCCGAGUAACUGGGACUACAGGCAUGCACCACCACGCCUGGCUAAUUUUUAUAUUUUUAGUUGAGAUGGGGUUUCAUUUCACCAUGUUGGUCAGGCUGGUCUCAAACUUCUGACCUCAGGUGAUCCACUCACCUUGGCCUCCCAAAGUGCUGGGAUUACAGGUGUGAGCCACUGCACCCGGCCCCUUAUCCACAAAUUUGGAUUGAGCUACAGGCAGAGGAUUGAAAAUGUGUCCUUCCUCCUUCCCUAUACUCAUGCCAGCUCUCUGCUCCAGCUUCUCUUGGCCCCACUAGUCACCAAUGGCCAGGGGCAGGAGCAGAAGCCAGAGCUGGUCAGGGAGGUAGGAUGAGGUCUUGUCUCACUGCCCUUUCAUAGCAUUCCCCUUUGGAACCUGAUCCUCUCCUGGCUUCCUAGGGUCUAGCCAGGUGGUUCUGUUUUCCAUGGCCUGCCCCUCCACUGUUCCUCUCCUGUACAGCCUGCCUUUGUAGAAGACAGAAUCUCAGGUGACUUUGAUCUCCAUGGUAUAGUCCUCUGCUUUUUCUGUCCUUCAUGACUAGGCUCAUUGGAGGUUCCAUCUCUGGAGCUUCUAUCAGUGGGGGCCUGGCCUUUGGGUGGUUUAGUCCUCCAGAGAUCGAGGACACUAUGCUCUGGCCCCCCCAAGGUACCAUCCCAGAUGAUGUGGUCCUCUGAGAGGCCCAACUCUUGUGUCCUGACUGUUCGGCAGUCAGGCUCUUUGUGGUCUAGUUUUCUGGGAGACAUCUCCUUAAUAUUUGAGUCCUCAUAGAGUGCAGACAGCUGUGUCCUGGACUUCCUGGGACAAUGGUUCCUAGGUUUUAAACCUCUGGGGGUCUGGUCCUCCAGGAUUUUCAUCUGCAGCAGGCAGGUCCCUCCAAAGGUCUGUCUUCCAUCGUCUGGCCCUUUGGUGAGCCUGUCCCCCAAGGCCUGGCUGUUUGAUGGUAUAGACGACGGUGGUCCAGACUUGCUGUAGCAUGGUUCUCUGCACUUAGCCCCAGCAAUGUUUUUUUGUGUAGUGGCCAAACUUCCUGGGGAUCUGUGGGGUGAUUUGACCCUGUGACAGGAGUCAUCCUCCUGUUCUAGCUCUCCAGUGGUCCUGUCUCUGUAGGACUGGUCCUCCAGUGGUGCGCUUGGUUGUGACUGGUCCCUCUCACAGGCCUGUUCCCCAUGUUCUAGGAACACGCGGGGUUCCUCUCUGAUCGGGCCCGCCUCUGGGGAUCUCAGUGUUUGUUUAAGAAGUAGGUACUGUUGGGGGAGAGAACAUACAUUGUACCAAGCAGGCCUGCUUGGGCAUGGCAGGUCGUCUCUCCCUAACCCCCACCCUUGACCCUAAAUGUUCAGAAAGAGUUCCAGGUUAGUGUUACCUCCUUACGGCUAUUGAUGGCCUGUUGCAGCCACAGCAAUUCCAUGGCCAAGUGGCUGCGGUGGUACUGAAGCUCUUGAAGCUGAGGUUGGCUGUGGGGCAGUCUUUGAUCUGUGGCUUCUGUGAAGGAGGGAAGAAAGGAAGGAGAAAACCUUGAGGGACCAGACCCUGGGAAAUGGCCUAGCCUUAGACUUUGGAAACUCCCUCCCCUGCACUGCCCAACCAUGUGGUGGCCCUAUCCCGGCAGAGGGAAGACGGGAAAGGGAUGCAGCUUAUCUAGCGCAAGCCUUUCACUCUUCAGAUGGGAGGCUGAGGCACAGUGAGGGUCAGGGGCUUGCCCUGAUCUUUGCAGAGAGGUACCUGGAUUCUCCAUCCUUGUCGUGUCUCUGGUCUUCUCUUGGCUGGGUUUCCUGUUCUGCUUCAUCUGAAGCCAGGAGCUGUGAUCUCUGCAGAGGCUUCCUUGAUUUGCUGAGCUCUCUCCUGACUUCUUCAGCACCAUCUCCUCCCAGGUGGCCUCUCCCUCAGACUCUUCACAUGGGAAGUGGUUCCACAGCCCCUGCUCUGGAUUUGCUACCCUGUCUCCUGCUUUCCAGGUCUGAUGGGAUUUUGCCUUCUGAGAAACAAGAGAGAUGUGAGAGCCCCAGGGCUAAACCCUUCCAAGUAUCUGGGCACCAUGAUCUAGCAGACAAGUUGGUGAGGGUUAAGGAGUGGGGUGUGAGGAGGUGUGUUCUACCUCUGGGAGGAAUCGCGGCCUGGGAAUGCGGCCCUCGGUCCACUGAAGCGUGCCCAGGUCGCCCUCGACCUCUCGUACAAUCGCCUCAUACUCAGCUCGCAGGCUCUGGAACUGGCGUCGGACCAAGAAGCCCCGGACGCAGGCCUGGUAUGGAGAACGAGAGGAAAGAAGUCCCUUAUCACGGAAAAAUCCUGUGAACCCCGCGCCCGCCCCCGCACCUGCAAUGCAGACACCUUCCGAACCAGCAGCUCUGGCUCCAUGGGCGCCAACUGCCAGGCCCGCCCGCGCGCCUGCGAAGUACGUCAUUGGUCGGCGUCGCUCCUGAGCAUGCGCGGGCGUGGGCUUUGCCCCAGCCGUUCCCACGGCAACCUCCUACCGUCCAGGGUAGAGGCGUCCUGGCGACAGGCGUACCUGCGUCCCCCCAGCCCCCGACUGCCCCUCCCACAGCCGCAAGGGGCACUCCAAUCCCGCAGGCGGUACCUCCAUAACCGAGGGCUGUCUCCGCGGAGACCGGGAGGAAAGGCGCAAGGAGGGGAAGCAGGACACGGAGCCGCUUGCUUUCUUUCUGGUUUAAUUCCAUUCAACGCCCCCCUCCCCCAUAGCACCUGGGGGGCCGCAGAACACCCGCCCGAGUCUGUAAAAAGUCACAGUUUGAAGAGAAUGAGAGGGGCAGUGUGGGCCUGCGUGGGACGCCUACGCAGCGGACUGCUCCUCAGGCUCGGCGUUCUCGGCCAGGUGCAGCUUCUGGCUGUGCCCGUCAAGGAUCGUGGCGCUUUGGACCAGUCCUUCCUCCCACCCCGGUCUCCCAUCUUGCACAGGUUUAGUUCCCUCACCUGUGCAAAGGGCCGGGGACGAGGGUCUCGGGCCGUCUGUGGACUGAGGUUGCAGUCCCCGCCUGCCCUCUCUCACCCCCUCUCUCUUCAUCCAGAUCGUGCAGGUCAGACACACUGGGGUGUGUGCGCGCGCACUCGCGCUGUUUCUGACUGAGGACCAGGUGAGGUGGUAGUGUAAAUUAGUAAAAAUAAUUGUUCAAUGCUGAAAGGAUAGGAGGACAUCGGACAAGCUUUGCUAUGAUUGAUGUCAGCUAAAGUACUCACAAAGAUUUUGAUCAGUAGUAAAACAUCCCCUACAACCACUUUUCUUCUAAUUUUGGGGAAAUUCUAAAUUCCUGUACCUGGGUUUGGGCAGUCUGUGGCUAAAUCUGACAGGACUGCAAGAGGUGGGGAAGUUGGUUGUGUGUGAAUACUCCUGGAGGGCUGGAGAGGAGGAAACUGACCUCUCAGGAACACACACACAUAGACGGGUUCCUUGGAAAGGAUACAUAGAAUUACUGAGGUCUUCCAGCUGCCAACAAAGAGAAAAAGGGAGGCUUCUGUUAGGAGGGGAACCAGGCCAAAUCCCCAAUGCUCUGGGGGCUAUCUUCUGGGGAGGUUGAGGGGCCCAGAGCUCUUGGAUCCAUGCACUCCCACCUUUUCACCCAGGGCCCAGGAAUGGCUUUGGGAGUAUGUACCUUCUCCACCCCUCAUGCCCCCAGGAACCAAAGCACCCAGACAUGAACCCACAUUGCUAAGCAGCUGGUCCAGGUUACGGUCAGCCAUUGUCUUCUUCUGCUCCUCUGGCAGCCCCUCAGUGACCCCAUCCUCUUCCUCUUCAUCGUCCUCCUCCUCCCCACACACAUCCAGGCUGAAGUGCAGCCGGGCUAGCUUCUCCUGCAUCUCCCGAACGUGCUCCAGCUGCUCAAAGGAGCAUUCCUUCCCUGGAACGAAGCCCCUGUCUGAACCCUGGGAAAGAGUCCUGGAACCCUGGAACCCUGGAACCAUGGUCCCAGCCAUGCCCCAUGGACUGGGCCCUACAGCCCUAUCCACACACCCGCUGAAACCAGCCCCCAGGACUCACCGAAGGCCUGCAGCCGGCCAGAGUGGAAAUCAUUGAGCAGGUUCAGGAGUCCCCCCUCCAUCUCAUAGACAUCAGUCACCUCGGUCAGGAAGGAGUGCUGCAGGGGCGUGCCUGCAGAGCCGCUUCCACCUCCAGCCAGGACUGGGCGGCACUUCUCUUUGCCUACUCUGGGUGGGGUGGACAUGACCAUGAUCACAGGGUAGGGGGCAGUCAGGCACCUCCCGAUCUUUUGUGCCAUCUGCCUAUGCACCAGUUUAUCUGUCUAUCUGCACUAACUCAUCUGCCCAUCUACUUACUAGCAUAAAUGGGUAACUUUAUGGUUCCCCUUGGGCACUGGGAAGGGGUGAGGAGGCGUGAAGAGGUCAAAAAGAAGUCUUUUCUGCUAAUAACACAGCCAGAGCAGUGCCUGAAAGGGGGUCCCUGGGUUCCUGUCUGAGUGCCUCACUCAUUUGUUUUAUGACCCUGAAUGAGUCACUUAUCCUCCCUAGUCUUCAGCGUAUAUAGAGACAGCUACUCCCUUAUUGCCACCAGGGCUGUCUUACCUCCUCCCAAAAUAUCUUUCUGCCCCUCUUCUUUUUUUUUGUUUUUUGAGACAGAGUCUCGCUCUGUUGCCCAGGCUGGAGUGCAGUGGUGUGAUCUCGGCUCACUGCAACCUCGCCUCCUGGGUUCAAGUGAUUCUCUUGCCUCAGCCUCCCAAGUUGCUGGCAUUAUGGGCGCCUGCC